AGUGAACGCUGGCGGUAGGCCUAACACAUGCAAGUCGAACGGCAGCACAGUAAGAGCUUGCUCUUACGGGUGGCGAGUGGCGGACGGGUGAGGAAUACAUCGGAAUCUACUUUUUCGUGGGGGAUAACGUAGGGAAACUUACGCUAAUACCGCAUACGACCUACGGGUGAAAGCAGGGGAUCUUCGGACCUUGCGCGACUGAAUGAGCCGAUGUCGGAUUAGCUAGUUGGCGGGGUAAAGGCCCACCAAGGCGACGAUCCGUAGCUGGUCUGAGAGGAUGAUCAGCCACACUGGAACUGAGACACGGUCCAGACUCCUACGGGAGGCAGCAGUGGGGAAUAUUGGACAAUGGGCGCAAGCCUGAUCCAGCCAUACCGCGUGGGUGAAGAAGGCCUUCGGGUUGUAAAGCCCUUUUGUUGGGAAAGAAAAGCAGCAGGUUAAUACCCCGCUGUUCUGACGGUACCCAGAGAAUAAGCACCGGCUAACUUCGUG
rnacentral:rRNA from 1 species